AUCUACGGCCAUACCACCCUGAACACGCCCAACCUUAUUUGAUCUCAGAAGUUAAGCAGGGUUGGGUCCGAUUAGUAGUUGGAUGGGAGAAAUGAGAUAUUUUACGUA
rnacentral:rRNA from 1 species